AAAAUAUAUUUUGUUUCUGGUCAUGUCAUCAAGCCAAGUGCAUUAGUAUAACAUUUUACGUGGGCUAUUUGUCUACAUCUUUACUCGAGAAAGCUGAUCGACUGAUCAGGCUAUAUUCGCAGAACUGCCGACAUUACUGAAUGUAUAAUACUACUACUAAUACAUACUACUAACAAUACGAUACACAAGUUAAGCUACGUUAUAGCCUAACCUUAAUGUACACAAUGUAAGCCUAAUAAAUAUAUUGUAAUGCACUGGUUCAUUGCUGACCAACAUGGCAACUCCAAUUAUCUUGCUGUCUGUAAAGUUUACGGGACAGGUGUAGUCUGUAGCCUUAGCAAAAUGGUCAUGUUUAGGUAGGCUACCACAGAAUGUCCUUUCCUCAGAGUUGGUAUCACCAGCUAGGAACAUAAAGAUAAUGUCCAUUAGCACCACGGGCCCGCCGAAUGGGAAUAUCCCAUAGCCUAGCCGGCACCUUGUGUACGGGGCUAUCACUGCACUCACUAUAGCCUACAAUCCCUUUCUCGAAUGUUUUUGCACCUGAGGAUACCACGAUUCAGGAGCGAUACAGUAGGAUAUAGCGCGCCACGUAACAAUUCUGCGAUAAACACAGGCUGAAAGCAGUAGCUAGUAGACAAAUGGCUCACCUUUUCGUGAUGUGACCAUACCGGAGGCUUAUUCCCAUGCCAUAGUUUCACUUCAUGAGAAAUAAGAAGAAGACUGUUCACAUUAUUAUAUGCUUUAUCCUCGUGUAUCCUUGGCAAAUAACGCAAUGAUGACGGUUGAGCUACGCUGGCUUCAGUUGAAUAGGCUAUGAUGCUCCGGUGAAUGUGUCGAAGAGAAUGGCAAGACAGCGUUUGAUAUGUAGAGCGGAACGCGUGUGAUUUGCUUUUUUCUAAUGGUUAUGAUUCAACUGUUCAUCUUUAAAAAAAAAUCUUCCCUGGUGGACACAAUCACCAACUCAGCAUCACUGGAAUAUACCAUACACGACAGAGAAGAAGGGGGUGUGGCACCGGUGAGCAAUAAUUUCACCAUCCAACACAGCCAGCCUGACGAGGCCACUGCAUGCUGUGACAUGGACUGGAUGGUGACACAUCUUCUUCAAACUUCCUGAUUGAAUACUGGGGUCUUCAGUGGUUCCAGAAGCAAGGCACUUACCGUGGAGUACAGCCACAUUCUCUUUCUGUCUCACAGCCAUUCUGUCAACAUGUAUUGUAUGUAACCACUCAAAGUCAUGCAAACCUCUACAGAUGUGAGCGCUGACAUAUUCACUCUGUCCAAUUCUUUAAUCUUGUCUGGGAUACACACCGAGUAUAACAAACAUUAGCAACUCCUUCCAAAUAUUGAGUUGAAUCCCCCCCAUUUUGCCCUAAGAA
rnacentral:lncRNA from 1 species